CCAGCAGCCGCGGUAAUUCCAGCUCCAAUAGCGUAUAUUAAAGUUGUUGCAGUUAAAAAGCUCGUAGUCGGACUUCUGGCCGUCUGUUGCGGUCCGCCGCAAGGUGUGCACUGCGAAAGGCGGCCAUCUGCUCGAGGACGGCGUGUGCCCUUAAUUGGGUGUGCGUUGGACUCGGGGCCUUUACUUUGAAAAAAUUAGAGUGUUCAAAGCAGGCAUUGGCUUGAAUACAUUAGCAUGGAAUAAUGGAAUAGGACUUUGGUUCUAUUUUGUUGGUUUCUAGGACCGAAGUAAUGAUUAAUAGGGACAGUUGGGGGCAUUCGUAUUUAAUUGUCAGAGGUGAAAUU
rnacentral:rRNA from 1 species